rnacentral:rRNA from 1 species
ACUUACCUACGGGACGCAGCAGUGAGGAAUAUUGGUCAAUGGUCGGGAGACUGAACCAGCUAAGCCGCGUGAGGGAGGAAGGUACAGAGUAUCGUAAACCUCUUUUGUCAGGGAACAAAGACUGGGACGCGUCCCCGGAUGAGUGUACCUGAAGAAAAAGCAUCGGCUAACUCCGUGCCAGCAGCCGCGGUAAUACGGAGGAUGCGAGCGUUAUCCGGAUUUAUUGGGUUUAAAGGGUGCGCAGGCGGUCUGUUAAGUCAGCGGUCAAAGCCCGGGGCUCAACCCCGGCCCGCCGUUGAAACUGG